ensembl:lncRNA
GCAUUGAGGUAAGCAUUUUUAAUGCUAUCAUCCCUUUGGGCAGCUGAGGAGCAGAGACCCACAGACAUUAAUGGAUGAAUGAAUCUGCAUAAAGUCACCUAGCUGGCAAGAGCUGAGUCAGAUUGGUGCCCAGGCCAGAGAAAAACAGCCAGGUGUGGUAUCUGACCCCCAAUCUGGAAUACAGUGCAGUGUCUGGUGUACGCUGGGUCCAAAGGCAGAUCAACCUCUCCAUCCGCAUGAAACAUCACUAUGGAUCUGUGUAUGGAUUGAACACAGCGUCUCCUAGGUGCGUGAAAGACCAUGGGGUGUCAUGUCAACAUGCACACAUCACAG